rnacentral:rRNA from 1 species
GACGAACGCUGGCGGCAUGCCUAAUACAUGCAAGUCGAGCGAACAGAUGAAGUGCUUGCACUUCUGACGUUAGCGGCGAACGGGUGAGUAACACGUAAGGAAUCUACCUAUAAGCGGAGGAUAACAUUCGGAAACGGGUGCUAAUACCGCAUAAUAUCUUCUUCCGCAUGGAAGAAGAUUGAAAGACGGCUCUGCUGUCACUUAUAGAUGACCUUGCGGUGCAUUAGUUAGUUGGUGGGGUAACGGCCUACCAAGACAAUGAUGCAUAGCCGACCUGAGAGGGUGAUCGGCCACAUUGGGACUGAGACACGGCCCAAACUCCUACGGGAGGCAGCAGUAGGGAAUCUUCCGCAAUGGGCGAAAGCCUGACGGAGCAAUGCCGCGUGAGUGAAGAAGGCCUUCGGGUCGUAAAACUCUGUUAUAAGAGAAGAACAAAUUGUAGAGUAACUGCUACAGUCUUGACGGUAUCUUAUCAGAAAGCCACGGCUAACUACGUGCCAGCCGCCGCCGUAA